rnacentral:rRNA from 1 species
UUCCGUAGGUGAACCUGCGGAAGGAUCAUUGAAUCGAUCGAAUCCACCCUGUGAACUAAACGUCCCCCCCUGGGUGCGGGCUUCGGCUUGCCCCAAGGCGUCGGUUCCCUGGCUGGGGUCUGCGGACCGCAGUUAGGUCCGGCGGGCGCGCCCUCUGGCGUGUCGGCCCUAGUGGCUGCCGCCAGUUGGGUUCGCUGGAAAUCAUAUCCAACUCAACCCACCCCAAACCACAAUCUAUACUGAAGCAAUCUGUGAGCGCACUUCGGUGCCUCGCUUUAACCAAAGACAACUCUCAACAACGGAUAUCUUGGCUCCCGUAUCGAUGAAGAACGCAGCGAAAUGCGAUACGUAGUGUGAAUUGCAGAAUUCCGUGAACCAUCGAAUCUUUGAACGCAAAUUGCGCCCAAGGCUUCGGCCGAGGGCAUGUCUGCCUCAGCGUCGGCUUACCCCCUCGCUCCCCCUUUCCUUCGGAUUGGGUGUGAGCGGAUCUGGCUUUCCCGGCUCCGUGCUUUGGCGCGCCCGGGUUGGCUGAAGUGUAGAGGCUUGAGCAUGGACCCCGUUUGUAGGGCAAUGGCUUGGUAGGUAGCCUAGCUACACCGCCUGCCGUGGCCCGAGGGGACUUUGCUGGCGGCCCAGCAGGAAUUCGGGUGUUGGGUUACCCCACCCCGAAAGCUUCAAAACUUCGACCUGAGCUCAGGCAAGACUACCCGCUGAACUUAAGC